GACGAACGCUGGCGGCGUGCUUAACACAUGCAAGUCGAACGGAAAGGCCCUGCUUUUGUGGGGUGCUCGAGUGGCGAACGGGUGAGUAGCACGUGAGUAACCUGCCCUUGACUUUGGGAUAACUUCAGGAAACUGGGGCUAAUACCGGAUAGGAGCUCCUGCUGCAUGGUGGGGGUUGAAAAGUUUCGGCGGUUGGGGAUGGACUCGCGGCUUAUCAGCUUGUUGGUGGGGUAGUGGCUUACCAAGGCUUUGACGGGUAGCCGGCCUGAGAGGGUGACCGGCCACAUUGGGACUGAGAUACGGCCCAGACUCCUACGGGAGGCAGCAGUGGGGAAUAUUGCACAAUGGGCGGAAGCCUGAUGCAGCAACGCCGCGUGCGGGAUGACGGCCUUCGGGUUGUAAACCGCUUUCGCCUGUGACGAAGCGUGAGUGACGGUAAUGGGUAAAGAAGCACCGGCUAACUACGUG
rnacentral:rRNA from 1 species